UACAAAGGGGGCUAGCGUUGCUCGGAAUGACUGGGCGUAAAGGGCGCGUAGGCGGUUCGUACAGUCAGACGUGAAAUUCCCGGGCUCAACCUGGGGGCUGCGUUUGAUACGUGCGGGCUUGAGUUCGGAAGAGGGUCGUGGAAUUCCCAGUGUAGAGGUGAAAUUCGUAGAUAUUGGGAAGAACACCGGUGGCGAAGGCGGCGACCUGGUCCGAUACUGACGCUGAGGCGCGAAAGCGUGGGGAGCAAACAGG
rnacentral:rRNA from 1 species